CCUACGGGGUGCAGCAGUGGGGAAUAUUGGACAAUGGGGGCAACCCUGAUCCAGCCAUGCCGCGUGUGUGAAGAAGGCCCUCGGGUUGUAAAGCACUUUCAGUGAGGAAGAACGCCUGGUGGUUAAUACCCAUCAGGAAAGACAUCACUCACAGAAGAAGCACCGGCUAACUCCGUGCCAGCAGCCGCGGUAAUACGGAGGGUGCGAGCGUUAAUCGGAAUUACUGGGCGUAAAGCGCGCGUAGGUGGCUUGAUAAGCCGGUUGUGAAAGCCCCGGGCUCAACCUGGGAACGGCAUCCGGAACUGUCAAGCUAGAGUGCAGGAGAGGAAGGUAGAAUUCCCGGUGUAGCGGUGAAAUGCGUAGAGAUCGGGAGCAAUACCAGUGGCGAAGGCGGCCUUCUGGACUGACACUGACACUGAGGUGCGAAAGCGUGGGUAGCAAACAGGAUUAGAUACCCGGGUAGUC
rnacentral:rRNA from 1 species